GUGCCAGCCGCCGCGGUAAUACGUAGGGGGCAAGCGUUGUCCGGAUUCACUGGGCGUAAAGCGCGCGCAGGCGGUGAUGUAAGUCUGAGGUGAAAACCCGAAGCUCAACUUCGGGACUGCCUUGGAUACUGCGUCACUUGAGGAUAGGAGAGGCAAGGGGAAUUCCACGUGUAGCGGUGAAAUGCGUAGAGAUGUGGAGGAACACCUGUGGCGAAGGCGCCUUGCUGGCCUAUUUCUGACGCUGAGGCGCGAAAGCGUGGGGAGCAAACAGGAUUAGAUACCCUGGUAGUCCACGCUGUAAACGAUGAGUGCUAGGUGUAGGUGGGCUCAUACCCAUCUGUGCCGAAGCUAACGCAUUAAGCACUCCGCCUGGGGAGUACGGUCGCAAGACUGAAACUCAAAGGAAUUGACGGGGGCCCGCACAAGCAGUGGAGCAUGUGGUUUAAUUCGAAGCAACGCGAAGAACCUUACCAGGACUUGACAUCCCAUAGACCAGUCUAGAGAUAGACUUUCCCUUCGGGGCUGUGGUGACAGGUGGUGCAUGGUUGUCGUCAGCUCGUGUCGUGAGAUGUUGGGUUAAGUCCCGCAACGAGCGCAACCCUUACUUUGUGUUGCCAGCAUUCAGUUGGGCACUCACAAGGGACUGCCGCCGAUAAGGCGGAGGAAGGUGGGGAUGACGUCAAAUUAUCAUGCCCCUUAUGUCCUGGGCUACACACGUGCUACAAUGGGCGGUACAACGGGAUGCGAAGCCGCGGAGGUGGAGCCAAACCCUGAAAACCGGUUCGUAGUCGGAUUGUAGGCUGCAACUUCGCCUA
rnacentral:rRNA from 1 species